AUUGAACGCUGGCGGCAGGCCUAACACAUGCAAGUCGAGCGGUAGAGAGAAGCUUGCUUCUCUUGAGAGCGGCGGACGGGUGAGUAACGCGUAUGCAACCUACCCACUACAGGGGAAUAACCCGGAGAAAUUCGGACUAAUACCCCAUAUACCCACAGGCUGGCAUUGGUCAAUGGGGAAAGGAGCAAUCUGGUAGUGGAUGGGCAUGCGUAUCAUUAGAUAGUUGGCAGGGUAACGGCCUACCAAGUCUACGAUGAUUAGGGGAUCUGAGAGGAUUAACCCCCACACUGGGACUGAGACACGGCCCAAACUCCUACGGGAGGCAGCAGUGAGGAAUAUUGGUCAAUGGCCGAAAGGCUGAACCAGCCAUGCCGCGUGCAGGACUACGGCCCUACGGGUCUUAAACUGCUUUUGAGAGGGAACAAUAAGGCUUACGUGUAGGCCGACGAGCGUACCUUUCGAAUAAGCAUCGGCUAACUCCGUGCCAGCAGCCGCGGUAAUACGGAGGAUGCAAGCGUUAUCCGGAUUUAUUGGGUUUAAAGGGUGCGUAGGCGGCUUCUUAAGUCAGCGGUGAAACUCACGGGCUCAACUCGUGACCUGCCGUUGAUACUGGGAGGCUUGAAUACGGAUGAAGCGGGAGGAAUGUA
rnacentral:rRNA from 1 species